rnacentral:rRNA from 1 species
GACGGGGGGGGCAAGUGUUCUUCGGAAUGACUGGGCGUAAAGGGCACGUAGGCGGUGAAUCGGGUUGAAAGUGAAAGUCGCCAAAAAGUGGCGGAAUGCUCUCGAAACCAAUUCACUUGAGUGAGACAGAGGAGAGUGGAAUUUCGUGUGUAGGGGUGGAAAUCCGUAGAUCUACGAAGGAACGCCAAAAGCGAAGGCAGCUCCCUGGGUCCCUACCGACGCUGGGGUGCGAAAGCAUGGGGGAGCGAACAGG